GCAAGUCUAAUGACAGAUAUGCCCACCGGUUACCAUGACGACCGCGAACCCACCCCCUUCCAAUGCACGUGCGCGGUUUUUGUGAGCGAGCGCGACCCGGCCUUACCUUGCACUCCUCCAUGCACGUCCUGACCGAGUAAGCAUCCGUCUCGUAUUUCUCAACCAGCAGCUCAAACUCCCGGAUACUGUGAUGGUGCCUCCUGGGCAUAGAUGUCCUGCUUCCUCCUGGAUCGUCUAGUCUGCCUUUAACUGCAGCAGCUCCCAUUCCUUCUCUGACCCUGACUGUGAGGAGAUCAGAGUCUAGUGCAAGGGCAGGAGUGCGAGCGCGAGGAGACAGAGAGGGGAAACGGCGAGGAAGAUGGAGCCUCUAGAGAAAAAGAGACAGGCUCAGCAUCUGUGAUUGGCCGGAAGAGGCAACACCCUCGGCCCUGGCUUGGUGCCCCGGCCUGGACGGCACAAGCUGACAUUGCAAGCAUGAGAUAAGGUCCACUCAAACCUCGUCUCUAUGUUAGCAUUGUUUUUUUUAUCUGUAGUUUUAUUUUGUUGAAUACCGUAUUAAUGAUAAAAAUAAAAAAAUAAAACAAAUUUUCAGCUCUGGAGUAUGAACAACAACAAAUUCUGUCGUUUUUGUUCUUUUUUGAAUUCAUCUUAGAGAAUUUUUAUUUAAAAAAAAUCUUUACUACACCCCUUCAAGUCUAAAAAUGCAAAAUAAAGUAAGUUUUUUCUACAGGCCAUAAUAAUAAUGCAUAAGAAUGCCUAAUAUUAUGAUGAUGCUGCUAAUAAAGUUGAUCAAACUGUGGAUUCACAUUUAUUAUUAUAAUUGGAAAGCACGUUUUAGUGAUUAUUAUUAUUAUCUUUUUGUUUUAUUUUUUUUAUUUUUAUCUGUCACACCUUAUUAGUCAGAUGAGGCUGAAGUUGACGUCUGAUUUUUUUAGUUUCCACUUUGUCAGUUAUAGGUUUAGAGAAAAUCUAGAUCACAUCCUAAUAGUUCCAAGAUGAAAUCUAGUGACGUUUACAUUAUAAGUAGACAUUUUAUGGAGGAUUAAAAUAAGCUUUAUCCUAAAAGUUAAGGAAAACUGGAGGCCAGAAAAAAAAAAAAA